rnacentral:rRNA from 1 species
GAUGAACGCUGGCGGCGUGCCUAAUACAUGCAAGUCGAGCGAACAGACGAGGAGCUUGCUCCUUCGACGUUAGCGGCGGACGGGUGAGUAACACGUGGGUAACCUACCUAUAAGACUGGGAUAACUUCGGGAAACCGGAGCUAAUACCGGAUAAUAUUUCGAACCGCAUGGUUCGAUAGUGAAAGAUGGCUUUGCUAUCACUUAUAGAUGGACCUGCGCCGUAUUAGCUAGUUGGUAAGGUAACGGCUUACCAAGGCAACGAUACGUAGCCGACCUGAGAGGGUGAUCGGCCACACUGGAACUGAGACACGGUCCAGACUCCUACGGGAGGCAGCAGUAGGGAAUCUUCCGCAAUGGGCGAAAGCCUGACGGAGCAACGCCGCGUGAGUGAUGAAGGUCUUCGGAUCGUAAAACUCUGUUAUUAGGGAAGAACAAACGUGUAAGUAACUGUGCACGUCUUGACGGUACCUAAUCAGAAAGCCACGGCUAACUACGUGCCAGCAGCCGCGGUAAUACGUAGGUGGCAAGCGUUAUCCGGAAUUAUUGGGCGUAAAGCGCGCGUAGGCGGUUUUUUAAGUCUGAUGUGAAAGCCCACGGCUCAACCGUGGAGGGUCAUUGGAAACUGGAAAACUUGAGUGCAGAAGAGGAAAGCGGAAUUCCAUGUGUAGCGGUGAAAUGCGCAGAGAUAUGGAGGAACACCAGUGGCGAAGGCGACUUUCUGGUCUGUAACUGACGCUGAUGUGCGAAAGCGUGGGGAUCAAACAGGAUUAGAUACCCUGGUAGUCCACGCCGUAAACGAUGAGUGCUAAGUGUUAGGGGGUUUCCGCCCCUUAGUGCUGCAGCUAACGCAUUAAGCACUCCGCCUGGGGAGUACGACCGCAAGGUUGAAACUCAAAGGAAUUGACGGGGACCCGCACAAGCGGUGGAGCAUGUGGUUUAAUUCGAAGCAACGCGAAGAACCUUACCAAAUCUUGACAUCCUUUGACCCUUCUAGAGAUAGAAGUUUCCCCUUCGGGGGACAAAGUGACAGGUGGUGCAUGGUUGUCGUCAGCUCGUGUCGUGAGAUGUUGGGUUAAGUCCCGCAACGAGCGCAACCCUUAAGCUUAGUUGCCAUCAUUAAGUUGGGUACUCUAAGUUGACUGCCGGUGACAAACCGGAGGAAGGUGGGGAUGACGUCAAAUCAUCAUGCCCCUUAUGAUUUGGGCUACACACGUGCUACAAUGGACAAUACAAAGGGCAGCGAAACCGCGAGGUCAAGCAAAUCCCAUAAAGUUGUUCUCAGUUCGGAUUGUAGUCUGCAACUCGACUACAUGAAGCUGGAAUCGCUAGUAAUCGUAGAUCAGCAUGCUACGGUGAAUACGUUCCCGGGUCU